rnacentral:rRNA from 1 species
GACGAACGCUGGCCGCGUGCUUAACACAUGCAAGUCGAACGAUGAACCCGGAGCUUGCUCCGGUGGAUUAGUGGCGAACGGGUGAGUAACACGUGAGUAACCUGCCCUGGACUGUGGGAUAAGUGCGGGAAACUGUAGCUAAUACCGGAUACGACCCUCGGCGGCAUCGCACGGGGGAGGAAAGAAUUUCGGUCAAGGAUGGACUCGCGGCCUAUCAGCUAGUUGGUGAGGUAACGGCUCACCAAGGCGACGACGGGUAGCCGGCCUGAGAGGGUGACCGGCCACACUGGGACUGAGACACGGCCCAGACUCCUACGGGAGGCAGCAGUGGGGAAUAUUGCACAAUGGGCGCAAGCCUGAUGCAGCAACGCCGCGUGAGGGAUGACGGCCUUCGGGUUGUAAACCUCUUUUAGUAGGGAAGAAGCGAAAGUGACCGUACCUGCAGAAAAAGCACCGGCUAACUACGUGCCAGCCGCCGCCGUAA